GNAAUUAUUGGGCGUAAAGCGCGCGCAGGCGGAUCAGUCAGUCUNUCUUAAAGGUUCGGGGCUUAACCCCGUGAUGGGAUGGAAACUGCUGAUCUAGAGUAUCGGAGAGGAAAGUGGAAUUCCUAGUGUAGCGGUGAAAUGCGUAGAUAUUAGGAAGAACACCAGUGGCGAAGGCGACUUUCUGGACGAAAACUGACGCUGAGGCGCGUAAGCCAGGGGAGCGAACGGGAUUAGAUACCCCGGUAGUCCUGGCCGUAAACGAUGGGUACUAGGUGUAGGAGGUAUCGACCCCUUCUGUGCCGGAGUUAACGCAAUAAGUACCCCGCCUGGGGAGUACGACCGCAAGGUUGAAACUCAAAGGAAUUGACGGGGGCCCGCACAAGCGGUGGAGUAUGUGGUUUAAUUCGACGCAACGCGAAGAACCUUACCAGGUCUUGACAUUGAUGGACAGAACUAGAGAUAGUUCCUCUUCUUCGGAAGCCAGAAAACAGGUGGUGCACGGUUGUCGUCAGCUCGUGUCGUGAGAUGUUGGGUUAANNCCCGCAACGAGCGCAACCCCUAUCUUAUGUUGCCAGCACGUAAUGGUGGGAACUCAUGAGAGACUGCCGCAGACAAAGCGGAGGAAGGCGGGGAUGACGUCAAAUCAUCAUGCCCCUUAUGACCUGGGCUACACACGUACUACAAUGGGAGUUAAUAGACGGAAGCGAGAUCGCGAGAUGGAGCAAACCCGAGAAACACUCUCUCAGUUCGGAUCGUAGGCUGCAACUCGCCUACGUGAAGUCGGAAUCGCUAGUAAUCGCAGGUCAGCAUACUGCGGUGAAUACGUUCCCGGGCCUUGUACAC
rnacentral:rRNA from 1 species